ACGCCCCGGCCCUUGGGUCCGGCUCGGAAGCAGCCCCGGAAACGACGGCAUUUGUUGGGGAAACAAGACCGGAAUUGACCAAGAACAGGAAGAGGAGGGGCCAGGCCUGCAAUUCCCAGAAUGCUCGAGGGCUAACCGACAGCCAGGCUGGCUUCCCGUGGUCUCAGCGCCACCUGCCGGAAGCCGCGAGAACAGCGGCCGCCUCAGGCAGGAAGUGCGUCAUCUCGCACGGAGGACGAAUGCCGUUCCCGGCACUUCCGGUCCUGACCGGAAGCGGUAACCGUCACUCCUUCUGGGCUCUGUCAGUGCACCGAGGCGGGGCUCCCCAGGAUCCCACGGUCCCGCUCAGGCCAGACGCAGAGGCAGUCCCAGCCCGCGAUGAGGACGUGGGGUCGUGACCGCUGGGCCACGGUGAAGGGGGCAGCCCUGCUGGACCCGCUAGCUGGGCCGACGCUUUCCCACCCCUAGGGGUUUGCUGGGCCCUGGCCGCAAACUUGUGGGGCGCCGUCCUCGGGGCCACUGCCCGGCCACCCUCACACCCUUGGGCCCUCAGCUCUGGUGCAUUGGUCCGGGCUCCGGGAGGCACUGAGACGUCCCCCUAGGGCGCUGCAGGGAAGCGAGGGCCAGGCCCUUCCAGGUCCCCGGUCCUCCCGGGCAGGAUGGAGGCUGCUGAACGCUCCUCAAGCUUCCAAGUCAGCCGUGGCUGGGCGGGCGGCAGCAGGGAAGGUUUGGGCUCCGCCAUGCUUGCGAGCCAGCAGCCUGGCCUCGCCUGUCCGCAGCAGGGGGCAGGUCAGCUGCCCGCCCUGAAAGGGAGGACCAGGGCCCAGAUUCUCCCUGCGACAAGCCGCGUCUUCCUUGGCCACUGGGCCCUAGAUGGUUGGCACCUUGUGCCCCUUCUCAGCUGGGAGAGUUCCUGCCCCACACACUCAAGGAUUCUGAGUUCUCCUUGGCUGCUAGACCUCUGGUCCCUCUGAAAGGCUCGAGAGAGAACUCCCCCAGGGCCUGCUGUCCUGGCAUCCGCUGGGAAAUAGGAUUCAAGGACCUGCUGUGGCUCAGCCUAGAAAAAAGGAGGGGAAGCAGGACCCACUCCUCGGCCCCCGGUCUGCUGUGCGCCUUUGGGAUUCCUUAUUUCUUAAACUGCUCUUCCCUCCCCACAGGGAACACAGCGGAAAGUAGAGAGGGGGCUCCUUGGACCAUUAUGUUCUCCCAACCAGUGCAGGCUUGCAAGUUGGGAGCAGCAGGGGAGGAGGGCCUGCUGAGAGACUCUGUAACCCCCUAAAAUGCAGGGCUGGGGACAGUUUCCAAAUUGGCCUGCAAAGAGGCUGCUGGGAGCCCUAGAUAUGAAUUCCCAGGCACUCAUUUCCUCCAGGGAACAGUGAAAUGUGCCAGCACCCCCCUCCCCACAACUAGGGAAAAGUAGCCUAACCCAGAGCAAGCCCCACCCCACGAUGUGGGGAAAGAUAGGAGAGUCUAGACCAAGCCCACUGGCUGGAGGUGCUCAGACAAAGGGAAAAGGACGGGGGAGUGCAGGGGCUCCUUAGCCCCACAGCCUGUCUGCCCCCAACCACCGCUCGCUGGUGGGCUGGGGGGGCUCCCUAGUAGGAUGAGGUCUUUCUUCCCCUCCAGACCCUCUGAGAUGUGGCUCAGGCCUGAGCCAUCAGCUCCUCAAAGGAACAUUUACAGGUAACAGAUGGGCAGGGCAGAGACCCUCAAAUGCUCGGGAGGGGGCAGUGUGUCCAUCCUUUACCAUCCCUCAGGAGGAAGAGGAGUCCUGCAGCGCACCCAGCCCCUACCCCAAGCCCAUCUCACUGCAUUCCCUGGCUGCCCGACCCCUCCUGCCCACCUGCUUACACUGUGUGCCCCUUGUGUGCCCAAGGGGCAGGGUGGAAGUGGCUGCAGGCAACACAGGGCCUCUCCCAAAAGAGAAUAGAGAGAACGCUCCCAAAAAGGGCCCUUGCUACCUGGAGUUGCUCCCUGGUUUAAACCCAAAGUAAAAUUCUAAGCAACCCCAACCAACUGAAUGGGCACCUCUUGGCCAAAUGCAUUCUAAAGUAAACCUGAAAAGCUCGUUGAGGCCAUGAUGACUGUGGGUGGCCGAACAUGCCUCAUAGGCACAGCUGACCAGCAUUCACAUUAAAACAGAGACCUUAGUCCGGUGUGGUGGCUCACACCUGUAAUCCCAAAACCUGGUGUGUCACGUGAGGUCAGGAGUUCGAGACUAGCCUGGCCACCGUGGCGAAACACCGUCUCUACUAAAAAUACAAAAUUAGCUGGGUGGGGUGGUGCAUGCCUGUUGUCCCAGCUACUCAGGAGGCUGAGGCAGGAGAAUCGCUUGAACCUGGGAGGUGGAGGGGAGGCUGCAGUGAGCUGAGAUCACGCCAUUGCACUCCAACCUGGGUGACAAGAGCAAAACUCUGUCUAAAAAUAAAAAGACCUUAAGACUCACAAAACAGACUCUGUAGUAAUAAGAUACCAACGUGACAGCAGGCCCUGAAAGAAACCGAAGUAUUUUACCCCAAAAUAUAUUUCUCUGAUGUAUUUUGAAAUGGCCCUGCAAAGCUGUCUCUUGGGAAAAUCUACAUUCUAUAGAGAAUCCCCCUCCCUUUCCAGGUCUAUUUCCUGAUCCAGGAGAGAAUUAACUAAGAUUCUGGUACCUUUUUAAGUCUGAUAAGAAACAUUUACAAUCUGGCGGCUUCAUCUGCAUAAUAAUCUUGGUCUCCACAACUCCUCUUAACCCAGAUAGUCCAUUCUAUUGAUUUCAGGUCUUUAGAUAAAAUCAACCAAUUAUUAAUCAGAACAUCUUUUAAUCCGCCUAUGACCUGAAAGUCCCUCCCCUUCAAAUCGUCCCACCUUUCCGACUAAACCAACGUACAUCUUAGAUGUAAUGAUCAAUGUCCUAUGUCCCUAAAAUGUAUACAAUUAAGUAGCCAGACCGCCUUGGGCACAAGUUCUCAGGACCUGGGGCUGUGUCACAGGCCACCGGUGCUCAUAUUUGGCUCAGAAUAAAUAACUCCCCAAAUUUUACAGAGUGACUCCUUUGGUGAACACCAGGGAUCCCGACCCACCCACCCUCACCCUGGACCCCACAGAGUCCACAGAGCCAAGCCCCACCGAUGUCAGAUUCCCCUGCCCUCCGGCCAACCCCUAGGUCUCAGACACCACUGGCACUGAGGGACUGCACAGGCCUGGUAGCAUGCCUGAUGUUCCUUCUUUAUUAAAUGACGGAGUCAGGAUGUUGUGAUUACAGUUGAAGGCGACGUGUUAGAAAGGACAGGUGCAUGAAGGCAGAGAGUGCCCACAGACUCGGCUCUCGAACCGGGGCAGGAGGGAACAAGCUGAGUCUCUGGGCGAGUGGCUCCCAGGAGAGGCCUGGCUGAGCAGGCAGAGCACCCUGGGACCCC
rnacentral:lncRNA from 1 species